UACGGAGGGUGCGAGCGUUGUCCGGAAUCACUGGGCGUAAAGGGCGCGUAGGCGGCCCGUUAAGUGGCUGGUGAAAUCCCGCGGCUCAACUGCGGGGCUGCCGGUCAUACUGGCGAGCUAGAGCACGGUAGGGGCAGAUGGAAUUCCCGGUGUAGCGGUGGAAUGUGUAGAGAUCGGGAAGAAUACCAGUGGCGAAGGCGUUCUGCUGGGCCGUUGCUGACACUGAGGCGCGACAGCGUGGGGAGCAAACAGG
rnacentral:rRNA from 1 species